rnacentral:tRNA from 1 species
GAGCCAUAGCUCAGUUGGUAGAGCAUCUGACUUUUAAUCAGAGGGUCAGAGGUUCGAAUCCUCUAUGGCUCA